CAUCUCCAUCACUGUGCUCAUUCUGGAAAAAAAAAAAAAAGAACAAUCUCAGGCACUUAGGCAAAAAAAAAAAAACAAAAAAACCAAAGAAAACAAAAAGCAUUCUGAGUUUGUGCUUGUCCUUCCUCCCCUUUGAUUGCCCAAGCUACUAUAGACUGAAAUAAUUUCUAUACAGAAAAAAUUAUUAGAAAAACUGAGUCAAAAGACUUAUCAAAUACUACAGAUCAAGGAAAAUCUUAAGAGAUCAAUGGAAUAGUGUCCAUCCUGCUGAUCCAACCUAUUUUGGAAAUAGUAACAGAAAAAAAACCUCAAAUGAAGAUGUUCAAAAAGGGUCCAUCUCCCUCAAGGGAGAACACUUAAGGGCUUCAUUUUUAAAAGUCCAAACUUCAAAAUGGAUUAGCCCAACUCCCCCCAAAAUAAAGCAGGUAAACAACCUCCCAUACUGGUCAUUUUCUUAAGAUGCCAAAUAAACAUCUUUGUAUGAAAUACAUUUUACUGGAACUGCACAUGCACUAUUUUCUGAAUGAAGCUCAAGAGAGCUUGUGCUCUUUCACCAUUUGAAAACAUGUCAAGAUCAGAAAUCUAUUAAAAAAAGACAAAGCUUUAGUCAGACCAUUUUGAGUAUUACUAACAAGCUCUAUGUCUUGACUUGUAAUAAUAUAAGAACAGUUUCAAUACUUCUGUCUCUUAAGCUCACAGCCCCCAUGCCUACUCAGAUAUCUAUAUGUAAAUACACCAACCUUCUUAAAACCAUAGUGGGACACAAUCUUUUGUUUUCUAUCCAGCAACAACAGUCAUAUAUGGAAAAAUCUAUCACAAGACACCCAACUACAGCACUGCAGACAACAGAAUGUUGUUUUAUCUUCACAACACCUAAGUUCUCCAUUUGCCCAAGAAAACAAAGUUAGACUGUUGAAUUGUCAUUCCUUAAUUCAGCAUGCCUACACGGUCACUGUCACCACAACCCUGUUUUCAGCCAGAAAGGAUACCAGAAAAGGAACCGCUCUUCUACAUGCUUCUCUGCUUCACAGAGAGACUUCCUAGGGUGAUUCUAUCUUCUCAGUUGCAGAUUCCUUCCAUUAGCAUCUCUGCAAACUGAGUAUCUCUUGGAAUAGCAGAUAAUUACAGAUCUCUGUGUCCUAGAGCUUCCAAAUCUUGCUAGAAGUUUAUUUUCAUUGGAAGAACAGAUUUUCUAUUUGUCAUUUUCUAUGGUCGUUCUACUCUCACGUUCAGAGCUAUAUACAAUAACACAGGUAUAUCUAUCCUAUAACAAACAACAUUAUUAAUCUUUCUAACAUAUGGAUAAGAAGGAAUUUUAAAUAAAACAAAACUUCAAUCGCUCUUAGGAAUUACUCUUGACAGAUUUAUUUAAACUGAUAAAUAACAACAAUCCUUAAGAUUUUGGAUCUUAUGCAUUUAUUCCCUUGGCUAGCACUUGAUAGAACUGUAAAUUCUAUAUGACUGAAAUAUAACUAACAGAAAGUUGCCAUACAAUGGGAAAAAAAAAAGAAUUCAGGACCGUGUAAUUUUACAACCAGCACUUCAAAUACAACUUCGCUAUUUGCAUGUUCCUUAAUGCUGUGGUAACACGAGCACUUUUCUCUCUGCUGCUUGCCAUGUCCCUACAGGGAUGGCAGCCUUCUCAAUCAUGCUGCUGGUACCGUUCUGCAGCUCUCCUUUCUCCUCACAGACAGGAAAUGUGCUUCAGUUAAGAAACUGAAAUGGGAGUUUUAAAUGAAAAGAUUAAAUAUCAGCUGAUUUGAGGGCACACAACUGAGGAAGACCAUACGCCCAAAUCGCUAUUUGUUACAGGAUUUUCCGUUCUUCAGAAUAUUCAUUUGACUGCCCUCUCCUGCCAAGCUUGUCACAUAACAAAGAACACAUAUAUGGUGUAUUUUCUCUCACCAUACUGCCUAAGAUGCUUCAGCUGCUUGAAACAGUAUUAUAGACUGGAUCAUUGCGAAGCACUGAAAUGCAGGUGUACAUUUAAGUUGAUGUGUUUUGUCUGUUUUCUCCUGACUUCGGAUGGCUGAUAUCAAACAGGUACUGACAAUUACAUCAGCUCUAAUAAAAGAUUUUGUUAACCACCACCAUGGAAAACAAAUGUAAUAGUACUGUUUAAACUAUGAGGCUCGUCACCUUCUAUGCUGUAAGACUAAGUAGUCUUUAGUAACCACUAAAUAGAACUGAAAAAGCGACUCGAAUCCAUAGUGACUCUACCACUCAAUAUUUCUAAGAGUGAAAGCGUGGCUGCAGAUUAUACAGCCACCUAUUCUGAAUUCAUUACUAAGCUACAAAGAACUUCCUACGCAAAACACUUGGUAAGUCACUCCAAUUAUACAGCAGCAUUACUAAAGCACUUUACAACAUACUGCAUCUCUUAUCUGUUACUGCAAACUGGCAGUCACACUUGAGAAGGGAGAUGCCUGGGGAAGGAGAACAUCCAUGCAUCUUAAUUAGCUCCCACUGUGACUACACUGUGCUCUGCACAACAAACCCCGGUGAUAAUUACAGCUUCCGAACUCCUCUGUGAUACCGUCAGCUACAGCAGAAUGGUUUAAGAGACAGCUCAGGAAAAAGCAGGUAAUACAUGCAACCCUACAGAGGCUGGGCAAACAGGCAUCCCCUACUCAGGUCCCAAAUCAGGAAAGCACAACCAAAGCCGACCCAAAGAGCACCAUCUGUCAGCCGAGGUAAGCCCUGCAAGGACAUGACACGUACUGCCUCAGACUCAGCACUAUGUCACAGUGACUGAGCAGCUUCUAAAGCAGAGCUGAGACAGCUGACUUGCUCAGAACCCAGGCAGAACUUGCAGGCCUUGUCCGCAGCCAUCAGUAGGAAGAUUCAACAGCUAUCACGGAACAAAGCCCUUACAAUGCUGGAGGUACAUGCAGAAAACCAAUUAGCAAUGAUAACAGGUCACAGUGAAGAUGUAAAUGGUCAAAUCCUUGUUUCCUUAGGGCAGAUUUUCAAUUAUUUGAUGACAAUAAGCAAAAUUAAAAUCCAACAGGAACACAGAAGAGUAAGAACAACUGAUCAAGUUUUCAAACACUGAAGAUAAAGCUUAAUAUAACUGCAGCAGCA